rnacentral:rRNA from 1 species
GACGAACGCUGGCGGCGUGCUUAACACAUGCAAGUCGAGCGGUAAGGCCCUUUCGGGGUACGACGAGCGGCGAACGGGUGGAGUAACACGUGGGUGGACCUCGCCCUCCAGCUCUGGGAGUAAGCCUGGGAAACGUAGGGUCGUAAUACUGGAUAUGACUCCACGGUGCAUGUCGUGGGUGGAAAGCCUUGUGCGGCUGAGGAUGGGCCCGCGGCCUAUCAGCUUGUUGGUGGGGGAUGGCCUACCAAGGCGACGACGGGUAGGCCGGCCUGAGAGGGCGACCGGCCACACUGGGACUGAGACACGGCCCAGACUCCUACGGGAGGCAGCAGUGGGGAAUCUUGCGCAAUGGGCGAAAGCCUGACGCAGCGACGCCGCGUGAGGGAUGACGGCCU